rnacentral:rRNA from 1 species
CCCUUAGAUGUUCUGGGCUGCACGCGCGCUACACUGAUGCGCUCAACGAGUUUUAACCUUGCCUGGAAAGGUUGGGUAAUCUUUUUAAAACGCAUCGUGAUGGGGAUAGAUUAUUGCAAUUAUUAAUCUUCAACGAGGAAUUCCUAGUAAGCGCGAGUCAUCAGCUCGCGUUGAUUACGUCCCUGCCCUUUGUACACACCGCCCGUCGCUCCUACCGAUUGAAUGGUCCGGUGAAAUCUUCGGAUUGCUGACCAAGAUCCAGCAAUGGAGCUUGGUUGCGAGAAGUUGAUUAAACCUUAUUAUUUAGAGGAAGGAGAAGUCGUAACA